UAUAUGUUAGUUUAAGGGUUAAAAUUUCGUGCUACGAACAUGAAGAUAUAAGUUCAAAUCUUAUACAUAUAU
rnacentral:tRNA from 3 species